AGAGUUUGAUCCUGGCUCAGAAUCAACGCUGGCGGCGUGCCUAACACAUGCAAGUCGAGCGAGAAAGUGUAGCAAUACAUGAGUACAGCGGCGCACGGGUGAGUAACACGUGGAUAACCUGCCUCAAAGUGGGGAAUAACACCGGGAAACCGGUGCUAAUACCGCAUAUUCUGAUGAGAUCUGCGGAUUUUGUCAGGAAAGGAGCAAUUCGCUAUGAGAGGGGUCCGCGGCUGAUUAGCUAGUUGGUGAGGUAAUGGCUCACCAAGGCAACGAUCAGUAGCCGGUCUGAGAGGACGGUCGGCCACACUGGAACUGAGACACGGUCCAGACUCCUACGGGAGGCAGCAGUGGGGAAUUUUUGGCAAUGGGCGAAAGCCUGACCAAGCAACGCCGCGUGGAUGAUGAAGUAUCUCGGUACGUAAAAUCCUUUCGACGGGGACGAAACCGCAAGGUUGACGGUACCCGUAGAAGAAGCCCCGGCUAACUCCGUGCCAGCAGCCGCGGUAAUACGGGGGGGGCAAGCGUUGUUCGGAAUUACUGGGCGUAAAGGGCGCGUANGCGGCUCNCUAAGUUGGAUGUGAAAACUCUGGGCNUAACCCAGAGCCUGCAUUCAAAACUGACGAGCUACAGUUCUGGAGGGGAAAGCGGAAUUCCUGGUUGUANCGGUGAAAUGCGUAGAUAUCAG
rnacentral:rRNA from 1 species